UACGUAGGGUGCAAGCGUUAAUCGGAAUUACUGGGCGUAAAGCGUGCGCAGGCGGUUCGUUAAGUCAGAUGUGAAAGCCCCGGGCUCAACCUGGGAACUGCAUUUGAAACUGGCGGGCUUGAGUAUGGCAGAGGGGGGUGGGAAUUCCGCGUGUAGCAGUGAAAUGCGUAGAUAUCGUAAGGAAGACCAGUGGCGAAGGCGGGUCUCUGGACAGUUCCUGACGCUGAGGCACGAAGGCCAGGGGAGCAAACGGG
rnacentral:rRNA from 1 species